GACAGAGGCCUCAAGCGUUAGGCGGAAUCACUGGGCUUAAAGCGUGUGUAGGCGGAUUGCUAAGUACCUUGUGAAAUCCCACGGCUCAACCGUGGAACUGCUGGGUAUACUGGUUAUCUUGAGCCACUUAGGGGCGAGCGGAACAAAUGGUGGAGCGGUGAAAUGCGUAGAUAUCAUUUGGAACGCCAAUGGUGAAAACAGCUCGCUGGGAGUGCGCUGACGCUGAGACACGAAAGCCAGGGGAGCGAACGGG
rnacentral:rRNA from 1 species